rnacentral:lncRNA from 1 species
GGGGUUGUUUUUUUCCCCUGCAACAAGUAAAAAUGGCGACAUCCUCAGGAGCUGACAUAAUAGGGAAGACGCGGAUUUCCAAAUUCUGUGUCAGACAUGUUUGGGGGAAAAUCCAUACAUCUGCAUAGUGAGUAGUUUAACUUUGUCUUGAUUUGGCUAAAUAUUUUAGCUGCUAGUUUGCGUCUGUCAUUUAUACUGAACUAAAAUAUAAACGCAACAUGUAAAGUGUUGGUCCCAAGUUUCACGAGCUGAAAUAAAAGAUCCAGAAAUGUUCCAUACUCACAAAAAGCUUUUCUCUCAAAUUUUGUGCGCAAAUUUGUUUACAUCCCUGUUAGUGAGCAUUUCUCCUUUGCCAUGGUAAUCCAUCCACCUGACAGAUUGAACAGCAUGAUCAUUACACAGUGCACCUUGUGAUGGAGACAGUAAAAGACCACUCUAAAAUGUGCCGUUUUGUCACAACACAAUGCCACAGAUGCCUUAAGUUU